UAAUGAGGUUUCACUCUCACAGAAGAUCUUUGAUUAUAUACUUUUUUGGUGUAAAUGUUAAGCUUUGAUUAUAUACUUCAUUACUAUGUACUUGUGAUCGUUAAUUAAUUUCAUGGAUUAAAGGGUCAAUGUUCAGGCUUGUUUCACAUUGUCAAAUUAAAACCCAACAUCUACCAACUUUCUGUUUAUUCGUUGACUAUAUAAACAGUCGACUAUAUAAACUAAGGUUCCAUAUAAGUCGCAGCAUAUCGUAUACAAAAUUCAUAUCCUAUAUUUAUGUGACACUGUCAACGAGUGUAGCUAAGCCAUGGCCAAAAU
rnacentral:lncRNA from 1 species